CUACAUCCACUUCUUCUUCCUCAUCACAUUCGUCAUCAAGGUCGUCAUCUUCAAGUAGCAGAGAUUCUUCUAAAACUAAAUCAAAGAGAAGGAAAAAAGAAAAACACAACAAAAAGAAGAGAAAAAAAAU